UACGUAGGGUGCGAGCGUUUGUCCGGAAUUAUUGGGCGUAAAGAGCUCGUAGGCGGUUUGUCACGUCUGCUGUGAAAACUGGAGGCUCAACCUCCAGCCUGCAGUGGGUACGGGCAGACUAGAGUGCGGUAGGGGAGAUUGGAAUUCCUGGUGUAGCGGUGGAAUGCGCAGAUAUCAGGAGGAACACCGGUGGCGAAGGCGGGUCUCUGGGCCGAUGACUGACGCUGAGGAGCGAAAGCGUGGGGAGCGAACAGG
rnacentral:rRNA from 1 species